UAAGGUAUAACUCAGUGGUAUCGUGCAUGCUUAGCAUGCACGAGGUCCUGGGUUCAAUCCCCAGUACCUCCA
rnacentral:tRNA from 1 species